UUUAAUGACUUAUAAGCAAAGCUGAGAGAAGUACAUGAUACACAAGUUGAGGGUUUAACUUCAGGCUCUAAUAUGACUUUUGAUCUAGGUUAAUGAUUAAUUGAUAAUAAUAGAUAUAUCCUUUUAGGAAUUGUUCAUGUCAUAUUGACCCUUGUGUUUGUAUAUUUGUAGAGACCAACUUGGAGUGUUUGUGCUACCUUAUCAUUGGGACCUGCACAGCAAUCUCUCUCUGGCUGACUUUGCACUAACUAUUUUGCAAAACCCAUGCAAGCCGAAGAAACUGAGAUACUUACUUAUGAGGACAUAAACUUUGUACGCAAGAACCUGGAAAGUCCUGAAGGUACAGUGCUGUCUAAUGCCGCUGUAAUAACCCUUUCAAUAAUUGGGGUGUUGCACAGAGCAUUGAAGAAGAAUUAAGAACUAUGUGGAAGCUGACAUUGUCUUGUCGUCAGCCAUAUUUCUACCCUUAGCUAUUUUAUGGAACAAAAUGUAUGGUGUCCGAACUGAUUUCUUUAUACUCCUUGAAAGACUUAUUCUAUUUUUCUGAACUAUGCUGAACUAUUGAACUAGUUUGUUAUUUUUAUUUUUGUAGAGUUAGCCGGAGAGAGAGGAAGUGUUAGCUGACCCAGGGAUAAAUGUAGUUUGUGUUGUUGAUGUAUGUUGAGUGUGCCAAGGAUGGAUUCCCAUGUUUUGAGGAACUGAGUGUGGAUAUUACUGGUGUGACAGAUCCCUCUGUCUGGGAUCUAUGCCUAUAACCCUUUGGUUUCAUCUGCUUUUCGGUUAAUUUCCUGUCCAUACCCCCCAUUCAUUUAUUUCCCAAACUCACAAACAAAUUUCCAAAUGGCCGGCCACCCAGCAGGGAAGUGUGCUGCUGGUUAACCUCUUGGUUAACCGCAGACACCUCCUAAUUGUCAACGGUAUGCUCGGUGAUAGUCAUUCGUAUGCUGACUACGAGGCGGUGGCCAUCUUGGAUGCACGAAUGAUCGGCGGUAUUUGUCGACGAUUCUAUGGAACCAAAAACUGACACUUUCUUCCGAACACCGCUGAAACCGCCAACCUUCCUUCUCUGCCAUCCAGCAUACAAACGCCGGUCCAUUCGGUACUUUCCGGCAUGAACAGCCUUACCCCAGAUAGCCAUCCCAUCCCAUGGAGCCCAUUCGUAUACCAAAUGACAAUGUGAAAGACUUUGGCUCCAUGGCGAUUGAACUGUGUGUAUAGGAUCUGAGCGCCUUUCGGUAAUAAUGUGCGCUCAGAUCCAAGCUAUCUGGGGAUAUGUUAAAUGUGGUCAUUAUAUUCAUGUAAUUUGAAGUUAUUAAUUUUUAUGUAUUUUAUUACUAUGUCUAAAAUUGAGUCUAGCCUCUAUCCGUGGAGAUAAUUGGAUUACUUCCCAAUUAUCUCCAGGAUAGAGAGGAUGUUUUAUCGCAGCUAAAGGGGAGUGUGUGUGCUUGUGCCACUGUGAUUGGCAACUGUAUCCAUAUUGUCCCAGUCUUCCAUCUGGUCCCCUAGGGGAGUGUCCACCAGGUGGAAGACCUGCAUAAAUACCGGCCAGGUAGCCCUCAAUAAACCAGAUCUCUGCUCAACCCUCAAUAUGGAGCUUGGUCUCGUAUUUGGGGGUAUUGCAUUCGUAUGGUUUACCCGUUCGGCUGUUUGGUUCGUGAAGGAUUUCGUAUGGUACCUGUUCGGCUAAUUGGAGCUUUCGUUAGCUGCUUCUCUAUUCGGAAAGGGACCAUCUUCAGCAGUAUUAACCGCUCUUAUACCUGGGUGUACCGUAACAACUGGUGGCAAGCGACGUGAUGGUUUUCACAGCCCAGAAGGUCAGCUACACAGGAACAUAGACCGAUGGAAGUACAGUAAGAAAGACUGAAACACUCUACCCUCAAACAUCUGCUGGAAAGCCGUGGACGAUUGGCCAGUAACUGCAAGGGACAAGGGACAUCAUCGCAGAGCCAGUCGAGAGGGAUGGAGUUGAAGGAACCGAAAGAGCCACGUAACUGAGAGGCCCAGUAUAACAGACUGAACCCCCGAAGAGGCAAGUUUUGAUCAAGCGGUUAAGUUAAGGUUGGCGUACUAUGGUCCUAACCCGACCGUGGACAUUUUAGCCACAGUGCAGGCAAGUUUAAUGCAACAAAGAGGUGCUGCAGCAGCCCAAACCACCGUAAUCCCGGCUGAGAAAAAGAAAGUUCAUUUUGCCGCAUUUUAAAAUUUCGUUAAAAUAGAAGGGGAAAUCGACGGAUACCUUGCGGAUUUUGAGCAGUAAUGUGCACUGCACAGGGUACCCCCAGAGGACUGGGUUACUAUUUUGUCCGGGAAGCUGUCCAGCCGGACAAGUGAGGCUUGUAGCGGAGCGGCAAUAUUAAAUUCCACGAUCUCCACUGGUAUAGAAGGUAAUCCACAGUCAAGCACUGAAAAGUAAGGCAAUAUCCCAAAUCCCCCCAGUAACCGGACGAAACACAGUUCUGGGAGUCAACUGAGGUUUUUAUUCACAGCUCCAGUAUUUAUGCAAGUCCCCAUGCAAGGGGUUUCCCUACUGACAUUGCAGGGGUAAUACAGUAGGGGACUACAUGAGGGACUUAACAUUCUGAACAUUUUUCCCAUCAGGCACUGCUGGACGAGAGGGAUACUCCUACUGGAAUAUACCAUUAAGUGGAUUAUCCCUCCGUGCAGCAGAACCGGCAUUUUACAUUUAAAUACAUAACUUUCAUAAUAUUUGAGUUAUUUAAACAAAUUGAUGUUCGGUAGAUAGCUGGGGUCUGAGUGCACAUUUAGUGAGAAUACCGCUCAGAUCCCAGCUAAAACAACCAAACGCCGCACGAAAUACACUUUGCCAUUGAGUUCGUCUGAAAGUACCGAACACUUAUGGGGAACCGCAAUAGUGAAAGACCGGAGCUCCCGAAUGGCCUGGAAGUCCAGCGGUGUUCGUGCCGUCAAGUAGCCGAUUUCGGCUCCACGUGCUCGACGACCAAACAUCGCUGGUGAGACAAAGGAUCCAAGAUGGCCAACCGCCGCGUGGUCAGUAGCCGAACGACGGCCACCUAGGAAAGUCUUUAAUUACCGAUUGCAACAAUGUUGCAAUCGGUUAAUGGGUGCCACACAUCUCUCUAUGUGUGGGCUAUUAGGGGGUAGCUCAUUCGGUUCAUGAACAGCCCGUAUAGUCGCUGUUCGUGAAACAAAAUACAUGAAUGCUAGCGGCUUUCGGCUGCUAGCAUACAAAUUCUAUGCAAAAAGACAAUGUAGACCCAGUUUAUACAUAUUUUACAGCGGUUAGUAAGGACAACCUUUUUAUACAUAUAGUCCAGCAUCCUACAAGUGGCUAGGUUUGCCACAAUGCUCCGCCAGAACCAAGCCGGCAUACACAGUCUGAUCCCAAUGGAUCAGCUUGGGGAUGUUUGGAGGAGUGCCCACAGAUCACUUUUCAAGUUCAGUUUGUCUAGAUAACCCCUCGGCGUUACCGUUUUGUUUCCCAGGACGUUAUUGGAUGGUAAAGUCAAAAGGCUGCAGCGCCAAACUCCAGUGCAGCAGCCUGACAUUGUCUCCAGCCACACGGUUUAGCCACACCAACGGGUUGUGAUCUGUGAGCAGGGAAAAAGGUUGUCCAUAUAGAUACCGCUGCAACUUUUUGAGGGCCCACACCACGGCCAGGCAUUCUUUUUCGAUGGCGGCGUAGCUCACUUCUCGUGGUAAUAGUUUUCCGACUUAGAUACGCUACGGGAUGUUCUCCGCCAUCUGCUCCAACUUCUCGUGGUAAUAGUUUUCCGACUUAGAUACGCUACGGGAUGUUCUCCGCCAUCUGCUCCAACUUCGCUCAGCACUGCUCCCAAUCUAAACAUUGAAGCAUCUGUGUGAACAAGAAAGCGUUCAGUUGGAUCAGCAAGUACAGGUGCAUUAGUUAGAGCCGUCUUGAGUUGGUUAAAUGCCUGAUCACACUCUGGGGCCCAGAUGACCUGUCGAGGAAUGUUCUUGCGCGUCAAGUCAGUCAAGGGUUUGGCCAGGGCACUAUAAUUGGGUACGAACUUUCUAUAGUACCCUGCAGUACCCAGGAAAGCUAGCACUUGGGUUUUGGUCCUAGGGGUGGGCCACUUAGCAACGGCUUCAAUCUUGGCUGGUUCGAGUUUUUGUUGCCCGCUCCCCACCCGGUGGUCCAAGUACUGCACCUCUGCCAUCCCUAUAUGACACUUGCUAGGUUUCAGCGUCAACCCUGCCUCCCCAAUACAAUCAAUAACGGCCCCUAUGUGUUGCAGGUGCUCUGCCCAGGUCUGGCUAUAUAUGGCGAUAUUGUCCAGGUGUGCGCAUGCAUAUUCCUGGAACCCGUCCAGUAGCCGAUCUACCAUCCUUUGAAAGGUCGUCGGGGCGUUUUUCAUCCCGAACGGCAUGACCCGAAAUUGGUACAGGCCAAACGGGGUGACAAACGCCGACUUGGGGAUGGCAUCCUUGGCUAGUGGAAUUUGCCAGUAUCCCUUACAUAAAUCUAUGGUAGUGAGAUACUGACCAAUUGCCAUCUUAUCCAGCAGCUCGUCUAUCCGGGGCAUCGGAGAGGCAUCAGACACAGUUUUGUCAUUUAGCCUCUGGUAGUCAACACAAAAACGUGUCGUGCCAUCCUUCUUAGGUACCAGCACUACCGGCGAUGCCCAGGGGCUAUCGGAAUGUUCAAUAACACCUAGCUGCAACAUUUCCUCAAUCUCUUUCCUCAUAUGUUCCCUGACUGCUUCAGGGAUACGAUAUGGGGUCUGUGAGUGGCUAGCGGAGUGUACCCGGGCAAAUUGGAGAAGGUGGCUCCUUUAGCCGUGAUCAACUCUUGUACCUGAGCCCGCUCCUGAGGGCUUAGCCGCUCCCCCAGCUGAACCCCCGUGGAGGGCUCUGUCUGGUCAUCCUGUUCUAAUAGGUCAGGUAGUGGCAGGUUCUCCUGAUCCUCAGAGGCGGAGGCGCAUAUUGCUGCCACGUUCUCUAUCCUCUCAUGAUAGGGUUUGAGCAUAUUCACGUGGAGCAUGCGUGGAGCAGGGGCCAAUCACAUAGGUGGUGUCACAUCUCUGUUCCACCACCUGGUAUGGGCCCUGCCAGCCCCUGCAGCUUCUCUGUGCGGACCGGUUUUAAAAUCAACACCUUCUGUCCCACUUGAAAGCUGCGGUCUCUGGCUCCCUUAUCGUACCAGCGGCACUGGAGUUGUUGGGCCACCUGGAUGUUGGUGCGCACGGCCUGGGUUAGUGCCUCCAAGCGGUCCCUGAACUCCAGCACGUAUGGUACAAUGGGGGUCCUAUCUGUGGUACUCUCUCCCUCCCAAUGCUCUCUAAUUAAGUCUAACGGCCCUCACACCCUUCUCCCAAACAGCAAUUCGAACGGGGAAAAUCCUGUCGACUCCUGGGGUACCUCCCUAUAGGCGAAGAGCAGAUGGGGUAGAAAUCGCUCCCAGUCCAAACGUACGGAGCAUCUGUUUCAGGGUACCGUUAAAUCUUUCGCAUAAACCAUUGGACUGGGGGUGAUACGUGGAAUUUACUAUCGGCUUAAUGCCCCAUAUCUUCCACAGUUGUUGGGUGACCUCGGCGGUGAACUGGGUACCCCUAUCGGAUAUGAUCUCUUGGGGAAACCCCACCCUGGAGAAUAUUUUCAUUAAGGCCUCGGCCACAGUUUCUGCGUGAAUGUUGGAGAGGGCGAUGGCCUUGGGGUACCGGGUGGCGUAGUCCGCUGUAUCUUGACUGGAGUCUCACCGUCUUCUUUCCACCCUGGAUCAGCUUCUGUCCUCCAGGACUGUGUGGGAAAGAACUCUUCCUUCCACCCUGUACGAACCUCCAGCAUCCAGGACUGUGUGGUGAAGACCCCUCCUCCAAGGAGAACGUGUCAGGAACAAGCUCUUAAAAGAGCUAAGUGAUUCAAGCUCAGGGGAGCAUGCAGAGCAUAGCAAUCCCCAGUGUGAUUAUAACAGCUCCCUCCAAUAAUGAGACAAGGCUACAUUUAGAGGGAUCAAGAAGAACUGUCUAAACCUUUAUUUCCCUUGGGACCAGCCCAUAGGGUCACCACAAUAACAUUGUAGUGAAACAUCAAUAAAAUCAAAAACAGUCAAACCAUAGCAGGCAACACACAGUGACUUAUCACAACACAAUGGCACAUUUUUAAAGGGGUGGGGGAGACAAUAUUUAACAGUAAAUAUCUCACCUGCCUGCAGAAUUAGCAAUAUGUAAAUCUACCCGAAUAUGCAAAUGCACCAGUCUUGCAAUUCAGGUAGUGCAUAUUACUGUUGCUACCAACAGAGGGCACUAGACAAGCUCCAUAGACAAACCCACCUAGUUGGUAGCAAACCUCAGCAGUACAGGAGAGCAGGCAAUACAUUUCACAGUACACACACACACUAUAAACAAUUACAUUACACACACCCUGCACCUAUAAUGGGUACAGGGUGACUAAAACAUAAGAUAAAUAAAGCAGCCUACAUAAAUAGUCUGUCUGAAGGUAGACUAGGGGCUUUAAAGCCAAAUACAUGAAAGAGUCAUAGUCACAGGGGAGGAGGCUGGCAAGCAGGCCUCUCCAGGACCAAGUGGCGAAGGGCACUUCGUCACAUAGCCGAUUUCGGCUCCACACGCUCGACGACCAAACACCGCUGGUGAGACAAAGGAUCCAAGAUGGCCGGCCGCUGCGUGGUCGGUAGCCGAACGACGACCACCUAGGAAAGUCUUUAUGUGUGGGCUAUUAGGGGGUAGCUCAUUCGGUUCAUGAACAGCCCGUAUAGUCGCUGUUCGUGAAACGAAAUACAUGAAUGCUAGUGCCUUUUGGCUGCUAGCAUACAAAUUCUAUGCAAAAAGACAGUGUAGACCCAGGUUAUACAUAUUUUACAGCGGUUAGUACAGACAACCUUUUUAUACAUAUAGUCCAGCAUCCUACAAGUGGCUAGGUUUGCCACAAGGCUUUUCGUGCCAUUCCAGAUGAGGAUAUUGCUGAUUACAGUGUUGUGAAAGAAGCUCUGUUAACAAGGUAUUGUUACAAAGACUCGAUAUGACUUUAUUAUUGUUACCACAUCUUGUUACUGUUGCAUCCCUAUAUUAUUGACCCAGAGAAAAUACGAAUCCUUAUAACGAACGAUUCGUGGUACGAACGAGAGACCCCCCACUUAACCUCAUCACCCCUCAAAGUACCGAAUGACCGACCACCCGACAAGCGGAGGGUGUCGCCCAUUAACCCCCCAGGCUGCUGCGGUCUGCGGUUAACCACAAACAAAAUUGACGGGCACAGAGGAUCGCAUACAAAUUACCGAAUGGAAACUACCGAAGAACUCCCGAACGGAGACCUCCUACAGUGGGUCGUGUGGCAGCGAUUAGAAUGUGGUUUCUGCGGUUGACCGCAACUCAAGUACCGUGCUACCGAGCGGUCUCAAUUCAUAUACCGAACAAUUUCCACUACCAGACAGACAGCGGGGAUUCGCAUGAGCACAUAUCCGAUUUCAGUUCCAUAAGUUGGAGUCGAGGUCCCGCUGCUCAUUAAACCGCCUAAAAACAUGGCCGCCAGGGACUCACGACCAAAGUACCGAACAGACUUUAUACGGCAGAAAUUGCUCAUUCCGUUCGCGGGGUCUGAGCGCCAUUCGUAUAUUUAAUGUAUCCGAACUCAAGCUAUUGAAUGAAUGGUAGAAUGAACCGUUUUCCCCUACUAAUAUUGAAGUUAUGUAUUUUUAUACAGUUUUAUGAGGCAUAAUAAAACGUGGUCUUUUGUGCGCUUGGAGAUGAUUAGAUUGUAUAACCGUUGGCCUCAUUAUCUCCAAGCUGGGUGGGUACUAAUUCAAAUGAUACAUUGUACUGUGAUUGGUUACCUGUUUGUACUGUACCUGUAUUCCAUCAGGUCCAUAGGGGGCUGUCCUUGGACCUGAGGAAUUGCAUAAAUUGCCAUGUUUGUGUGCCAGUAAAGCCAGUUCAUUUUGACCCUCAACUUGCAGCCUCGACUCAUGUUGUAGGGAUCCGGGAUAUUGAUGCUUAUACAGCUUUUGGGAUACUCUACACUUGCAGCUUUUACCAAAGGAACUCCGUUCGACUCCAACCGAUCAACCCCCCUGCUAGACCGGGGGCAAUCGUAACAGGUAUGCCGUCACACCGGAGGCAUACCGGAGGCGAUUCAGAGACACGAACAAGCUGCCAGGAGAUUCUUAUACCGAGUGGGCAUGCCGGGUACACAGCACCGCAGCCCACUGGGUCACUGGCUAUCAAGCCGUAUCUUGGGAAGAGGUGCUCCAGUCAUUUCUCUUAGAACACUUCUUUGACAAGGUUGUAUAGAAUCCAUAAACCUUCCCAGAAAAGUAAUGCCCCGUCUCAGAAUCAACAGCUGGUGGUGCCUGCGAAACACCGGCAGGACAUUCUGCGAAUUGGGCACGAUGUACCAUUACCUGGACAUAGGACGCACAGCACAUAGGAUAACCCAAAAUUUAUUCUGGCCCAAUUUUAAUCAGGCUGUGUGACAGUAUUGUAGUACGUGUGACACAUGUCAACGGGUAGAUAAGCAGGGGGGACCACCCUAACGCUAGACUCAUGUCAAUGCCUAUUAUUGGAGAACCCUUUUCCCGUAUAGCUGUUGACAUUGUGGGUCCACUGGCCAGGGCUAGCCCAUCUGGAAAGAAGUAUAUCCUUACUGUGGUUGACUAUGCUACCCGGUACCCAGAGGCAAAAGCUCUGUCCAAUAUUGAGGCAGAGACAGUAGCUAGUGCCUUGAUUAACAUUUUUAUAAGAGUUGGGUUCCCUAAGGAGAUCCUCUCCGACCAGGGAACUCCGUUUACCGCUGUGCUCACCUAGCAGUUGUGGAAGGUGUGCAAUAUUAAACCAUUGCUUAGUUCACCUUACUACCCCAAGACUAACUGUCUCUGUGAGCGCUUUAAUGGCACCCUCAAGCAAAUGCUGAAGACCUUUACUGAUGCCUGCAGAGACUGGGAGCGAUUCCUGCCUCAUUUGUUAUUUGCGUACAGAGAAGUGCCCCAGGGAUCUACUGGGAUCUCUCCCUUUUGGGCAGAAAAGCCAUGCUUCAUUUGGUUACAAAGGACUACGAUCUAUCUUUUGAACCACUGGACAAAUUUGUAUGAUUUUGAUGUAUGUUUGAAUUUGGAGUAUGCUGAUUCUGAUGUAAAUGUAAGUUUUAUGUGAAUGUGAUUUAAAGUUAUGAAUAAUGUGGAAAAAUUGUAUUUCUCUGCCUGUGAUAAUUACAUUACCCAUUGUGUAAGGUAAUUGUAUCACAGGCAGAGGGGAGGAUUUUGUGUGGGAGUGUCUGAGUGUAUUGUAUGUGUUUAUUGGUUGUUUCCCAAAACCCUGUGGGUGGUACUAAUGUGUAAGAAUGUGUAUAUAAGAACAAUAAACCCACAGCUCUGUCUGUUCACUGCUUGACUGUCAACACGGAGCUUUGUCUCAUUCUUGGGGGAUUUAUUGUAUGCUGUUCCAGUUUGACUGCUAGGAGUGUAAACCUAUUCGUAUGGUUUUUCCUAUUCGGCUGUUUACGGCUUUCACAUGGUUUCCUGUUCGGCGGAUUGGUGUCUUUGGUAGCUGCCUGUAUAUCUGGAAGGGAAUAUCCUCUAAACAGCGUUUAAACCCUUUUAUGCCCGGGGUGCCGUUACAUACAGUAGGGUGUGGAAAUCAGAGACUGGAGCCAGCCAAGGUAGAGGCAGUUGCUAACUGGUCCACACCACGCACAAAGACCCAGGUACUGGCCUUCCUGGGGACUGCAGGGUAUUACCGACGUUUUGUCCCUGACUACAGCGCUAUUGCCAAGCCCCUGACAGACCUGACAAAAAAUAAUUUACCUAGGCAGGACCUGUGGUCUCCAGCUUGCGAAGCUGCAUUUAUUGCUCUUGGCUGCCCCAGUACCUAACAAACGUUUCCUUGUCCACACAGAUGCUUACAUGUUUGGACUGGGGGCUGUGCUGAGCCAAGUCAGAGAGGAUGGAGGAGAGCACCCUGUCACAUAUCUCAGCAGAAAACUACUACCCAGGGAAGUGAGUUAUGCGGCAGUGGAGAAGGAGUGCUUGGCCAUGGUCUGGCCACUGAAAAAACUGAACCCUUAUUUGUAUGGACUGACCACAAUCCCUUGGUCUGGCUUAACCAGGUCUCAGGAGACAAUGGCAGGUUGCGGCUGUGGAGCUUAGCCCUGCAACCAUAUAACUUCACCAUCAGCUACCGGCCCGGUAAGCACAACGGUAAUGCAGAUCAAUUGUCCCGGCAAACAGACUAGUUCCGGUCAUCCCCAAGUUGACCCGCAAAGGCUCAAGCCGGGUCUGCCGGAGUGUCCCACAAGGAGGGAGCCGUGUGACAGAUCCCUCUGUCUGGGAACUAUGCCUUUAACCCUUUGGUUUUGUCUGUUUUUCUGUUAAUUGCCUGCCCGUACUCCCCCGUUCGUUUAUUUCCCGAACAAACUCCCGAACAAACUGCCGAACAACCGCCCACCACCCCCUGGUGUUGAGCACCAGCAUUAGUGCGGCCACAUACCAGGUCCCUGAUACAGCUACUGCGUAUCCCAGGAGUUAGAAGAUAUGCAGACCCCCCAGGAACUGGAUAAGGAGGCUCUGCAGCAGAAACCAGGAGCUUGGAAAUAAGCAGACCCCCAAGGAGCUGAAUAGAGAGGCUCUGCAGCAGGAAUGUAUCUAGUACAGAAACAAGGCAAGGCUAGUGUAGCGGAUGGCCAUGAGCUGCCCUGGGACUUACAUUAUGUUUAAUCUGUAUUCGUCUAUUUGCUAAAUGUCUAUGCAGUGAGGGAAUGUAUUCGUAUAAAAUAGCUAAGUUCUAUGUGUAAAAUGUAUCGGAUUCGUCUAAAUGUAAGGUAGUUUCAUUCCCUUAGUUUGUUCGAAUGAAACUACCGAACAGUCAGACCUCCAUGUGUGAAGUGUGCCUUCAAUUACCCGUUGCAACAUUGUUGCGAACGGGUAAUUGACAAUCUGUGUUCUCCGGGGUGGCCGCCAUUCGAGAAACAAACACGUGGCGGCGGCCAUCUUAACCUCCCAAACAGCAGUGUUUUGCCGUCGAGUGUCUGGAACUAAAAACGGACACUCGAUUAGGCGAACACCGCUGAGACCUCCAUCAGCCCGGUCUGUUCGGUUCCAAGCUACCGAACGGCCCCUCGUUCGGUAGGCAUAAUCAACCGAACGAGGGGAUUCAGGCAAACCCUCCCAAGCCUCUAUAGCUGGAGGCUUUCAGGUACCGACCGCAGGGCCCCAUCGCAUGGAGCCCAAUUCGGCUAGUUCAUCCAGCACGGUCGGUCAUUUUAUUCCCUCCAGGAAAUUCCCAAACCCCUGGUCCGAUCUGGAUGAUUUUUGGAUAUGUUGUUCACCCAGAUCAGGGCUACCAGGGGAUGUAUAAUUUAAAGGGGUACCCCUAGGUUUAGGGGUACAUCCAGAAACGGGGGGAAUUGCUGUACUGGAUAAGGGGAUUAUGAUGCCGGCUGAGGGGAGGAGAGGUGUGGGAGGUUACCGGGACAGGAUUGGCUACUGUAUUAAUGAAUGGAAAUCCCUCCCUUGCAUGGGAGCAUGCAAUAUAAGGCACUGUGGAAUAAAGGUUGUCAGUUCUGCUCCUGAAA
rnacentral:lncRNA from 1 species